UCUGUCAGAUUGAACGCUGGCGGCAGGCCUAACACAUGCAAGUCGAGCGGUAGAGAGAAGCUUGCUUCUCUUGAGAGCGGCGGACGGGUGAGUAAUGCCUAGGAAUCUGCCUGGUAGUGGGGGAUAACGUUCGGAAACGGACGCUAAUACCGCAUACGUCCUACGGGAGAAAGCAGGGGACCUUCGGGCCUUGCGCUAUCAGAUGAGCCUAGGUCGGAUUAGCUAGUUGGUGAGGUAAUGGCUCACCAAGGCGACGAUCCGUAACUGGUCUGAGAGGAUGAUCAGUCACACUGGAACUGAGACACGGUCCAGACUCCUACGGGAGGCAGCAGUGGGGAAUAUUGGACAAUGGGCGAAAGCCUGAUCCAGCCAUGCCGCGUGUGUGAAGAAGGUCUUCGGAUUGUAAAGCACUUUAAGUUGGGAGGAAGGGCAGUAAAUUAAUACUUUGCUGUUUUGACGUUACCGACAGAAUAAGCACCGGCUAACUCUGUGCCAGCAGCCGCGGUAAUACAGAGGGUGCAAGCGUUAAUCGGAAUUACUGGGCGUAAAGCGCGCGUAGGUGGUUCGUUAAGUUGGAUGUGAAAUCCCCGGGCUCAACCUGGGAACUGCAUUCAAAACUGACGAGCUAGAGUAUGGUAGAGGGUGGUGGAAUUUCCUGUGUAGCGGUGAAAUGCGUAGAUAUAGGAAGGAACACCAGUGGCGAAGGCGACCACCUGGACUGAUACUGACACUGAGGUGCGAAAGCGUGGGGAGCAAACAGGAUUAGAUACCCUGGUAGUCCACGCCGUAAACGAUGUCAACUAGCCGUUGGGAGCCUUGAGCUCUUAGUGGCGCAGCUAACGCAUUAAGUGA
rnacentral:rRNA from 1 species